rfam:Rhizobium sp. RT36D genome assembly, contig: Ga0136764_102
AGUCAAGAGUCUUUGGCAUCGUUUUGGUGAGCAUUUUUCUAUUGCCUGACAAAAGGUGAUGAAAAAAUG